GGAGGAUUACCGAAGCGGUCACAACGGCUCCGACUCGAAAUCGGCUGGUCUUUUAUUAGACACGUGGGUUCGAAUCCCACAUCCUCCG
rnacentral:tRNA from 1 species